CCUGCCCCCCGGCCCGGGAUAGCCCAGGGAAACCUGGAUUAAUACCGGAUGAGACGGGACCCGCGAUGGCGGGACCCGGGAAAGGCGCUGCGGCGCCGCCGGGGGAUGAGUCUGCGUCCCAUUAGCUAGACGGCGGGGUAACGGCCCACCGUGGCGACGAUGGGUAGCCGGCCUGAGAGGGUGGACGGCCACAUUGGAACUGAGACACGGUCCAGACUCCUACGGGAGGCAGCAGCUAAGAAUCUUCCGCAAUGGGCGAAAGCCUGACGGAGCGAACCGCCGCGUGAACGAAGAAGGCCGUGAGGUUGUAAAGUUCUUUUCGGGAGGGGGAACAACCGUGGCAGGGAAUGGCCGCGGGAUGACGUGAAUCCCGGAAUAAGCCCCGGCUAACUACGUGCCAGCCGCCGC
rnacentral:rRNA from 1 species